GUGACGAAGGUAGAAGGAACUCCCGGUGUGAUAUAUGAUUCGACUAUAUCACAGCAGUAGUUACCUGAUACUUUUAACAC
rnacentral:pre_miRNA from 1 species